rnacentral:pre_miRNA from 1 species
AGAUGAAUCAUCCGGGGGCAUCUUGUUAAAAUGCAGAUUCAGAUUCAAGGAGACCAGGCUGGGGUUUGUGAUUGUGCAUCUCUAACAAGCUCCUAGGCGAUAUUGGU